GGGAAUGUGUCUUAGUGGUAGAGGGCUUGCCUAGCAUGCAUGAAGCCCUGGGUUCAAUUCCUCAGUACCA
rnacentral:tRNA from 1 species